AUCUAAUCUAAUUGUAAGUCGCUCUGGAUAAGAGCGUCUGCUAAAUGACUUAAA
rfam:Salmo salar isolate Sally breed double haploid chromosome ssa21, whole genome shotgun sequence.